rnacentral:tRNA from 2 species
GGACGGUUAGCUCAGCUGGGAGAGCAUCUGCCUUACAAGCAGAGGGUCGGCGGUUCGAUCCCGUCACCGUCCA